CAAUAGCGUAUAUUAAAGUUGUUGCGGUUAAAAAGCUCGUAGUUGGAUUUCUGUUGGGAACGACCGGUCCGCCCAUUGGGUGUGUAUCUGGCUUGUUCUCGGCAUCUUCUUGGUGAACGUUGCUGCACUUGACUGUGUGGAGCGCUACCCAGGACUUUUACUUUGAGGAAAUUAGAGUGUUUCAAGCAGGCAUAUGCCUUGAAUACAUUAGCAUGGAAUAAUAAGAUAGGACCUCGGUUCUAUUUUGUUGGUUUCUAGAGCUGAGGUAAUGAUUAAUAGGGAUAGUUGGGGGCAUUCGUAUUUAACUGUUAGAGGUGAAAUUCUUGGAUUUGUUAAAGACGGACUACUGCGAAAGCAUUUGCCAAGGAUGUUUUCAUUGA
rnacentral:rRNA from 1 species